rnacentral:rRNA from 1 species
AAGGAAAGCAUUUUGUUCAAAACAAAAUGUAGUUUUUUUGUCAUAAAUACGACAGCUAUCUCUAGUAAAACUAAUAGUUUUAUGGAUAGUAAUUAAAUUAAAAGACCGGGAUCAGUUAUUAUAUUAUAACUAUCCAAGGGGUUAGUUUAAUUUUUUGAAAGCUUCGGCUAUUAGCGAUUUACUCGCAUAAACUUCCAUACAAAAUACAGAUGAUGACUAUUUUUGUAUGACAGUCUUGGCCAAAACACGUGCCAGCAGCCGCGGCAACACGGGAUUAGACGAGUGUUAUUCAUCUUUAAUAGGUUUAAAGGGUACCUAGACAGCAGAUUUAGCCCCCACUGAGUUGGAAUGGAACUUUUCUGCUAGAGUUUUAUGUGAGAGGGAUUUAGUACUAACAGAGUAGAGAUGAAAUUUUUUGAUACUGUAGGGCACUGAUAACGGCGAAGGCAGACCUUUAUGUAAAAACUGACGUUGAGGGACGAAGGCUUGGGUAACAAACAGGAUUAGGUACCCUAAUAGUCCAGGCAGAGACUGAUGAGUGCCAUAGAUUAGAUAAUUAUUGGUCUAUAAAUGAAAGUGAAAGCACUCCACCUUAAGAGUAAUGCGGCAACGCAGGAACUGAAAUCAUUAGACCGUUUCUGAUACCAGUAGUGAAGUAUGUUGUUUAAUUCGAUGAUCCACGAAAAAUCUUACCACAAUUUGAAUAUUAUAGCAACUAUAGGAAAGUCUUUUAUACGAUUAAAGGAAUGUAAGUGCUAUUUAUACAGGUGUUGCAUGGCUGUUUUUAGUUGGUGUCGUGAGAUGUAGGUUAAUUCCUAUGUAAUCAACGUGAACCCUUACUCUAUUUUAUGAAUAACUAUAUAGAGUCGAUGUCUGAUACGUCGGACAAA